UAGAGUUUGAUCAUGGCUCAGAUUGAACGCUGGCGGCAGGCUUAACACAUGCAAGUCGAGCGGUAACAGGAAUAGCUUGCUAUUUGCUGACGAGCGGCGGACGGGUGAGUAAUGCUUGGGAAUAUGCCUUAUGGUGGGGGACAACAGUUGGAAACGACUGCUAAUACCGCAUAAUGUCUACGGACCAAAGGGGGGGAUCUUCGGACCUCUCGCCAUUUGAUUAGCCCAAGUGAGAUUAGCUAGUUGGUAAGGUAAUAGCUUACCAAGGCGACGAUCUCUAGCUGGUUUGAGAGGAUGAUCAGCCACACUGGGACUGAGACACGGCCCAGACUCCUACGGGAGGCAGCAGUGGGGAAUAUUGCACAAUGGGGGGAACCCUGAUGCAGCCAUGCCGCGUGUGUGAAGAAGGCCUUCGGGUUGUAAAGCACUUUCAGUUGUGAGGAAAGGUGAGUAGUUAAUAGCUGCAUACUGUGACGUUAACAACAGAAGAAGCACCGGCUAACUUCGUGCCAGCAGCCGCGGUAAUACGAGGGGUGCAAGCGUUAAUCGGAAUUACUGGGCGUAAAGCGUUCGUAGGCGGUUGAAUAAGCAAGAUGUGAAAGCCCAGGGCUCAACCUUGGAACUGCAUUUUGAACUGUUCGACUAGAGUACUGUAGAGGGGGGUAGAAUUUCA
rnacentral:rRNA from 1 species